GGGUCAGUAGAUUGGUCGUGCCACUGGUAUGCACUGGUCUUACUGGCUCCUCCUUCCUGAUGAACCGUAAUGCCAUUAAUUUGGUGUUGCGGGGAGACUGGACUGUUACUUUGAAAAAAUUAGAGUGUUUAAAGCAGGCCUACGCUUGAAUACAUUAGCAUGGAAUAAUAGAAUAGGACU
rnacentral:rRNA from 1 species